UUCAAGGCCUACACCAUGGGCCACUGGUAUUAAAGCAACCAGCAAGUGGACACACCCAGUCAGGGCAAGGGGCCAGAGCUCCUGUUAGAUGUGGUGCACUCUGAAUGGUGUAUUCUUGUCUGACCACGAACAAAAUCCAUCAAAACCCAUACCCAAAAGUUCGAAUUAAAAUUUAAAACACCAAAAAUCCCUUUUAUCAAUUUCCUAUAUAUAAUACCUCUUGCCACUGCCAGCCUGUUCAUAAGUCCCCCUUCCCCAUCUCUCUCUCUCUCUCUCUCUCUCGCUGUUUAUCUGCCCUCUUGUCCCUGCAACCUCACGUUUCGUCGGCCGGAGAGCUCUAAUGGCCACCAUUUCCGCUACUUCUUCUGCUACCUUCGGGGCUUCCCUGAAGUUAUGCUUCCAGAAUAGUGAGCAAGGGUAGUACUAUUUCAAAUGAUUUGCACGGCUCUUCAAAGUUCGGCCCCUACCCCCGAACACUACAACUUGUUGCACGACAGUCCUCUCCAGACACUAGGCCAAGUUCUCCUACUCCUUUUGAAGCCCAACGCUCUCCUCAUGUUCCCAGCCCAGACCAUUUAUCACCUGCUGCCCCAUCGCCAGUGCAACCUACCUCACUGCCCACAGACAACAGAGGUCCGGUUUGGACUCAUCCAAUGGUCACACAAACAUAGGAUGUGACACACAGGUCAAAAGUGUUCUUCUCUACUUGGCACCCCAAUUCCAACAUGUUUUAUAGCAGACCUUCAAGCCCAGCCAUCUGAGUCUGCACCAUACAAACAAGCUCUUAAAGAUCCCACAUGGCAGCAGGCCAUGCAAGAUGAAAUCCAUGUGCUCCAUGCCAACCACACAUAGACUUUGGUCCCAAAGACAUCAGAUGUGAACCUUGUCAGUAGCAAAUGGGUCUUCAAAAGUAAGACCCGAGUGAACGGCUCUGUAGAACGCCAUAAGCCUAUAAAGCCCAUCUUGUCGCACAAGGCUUUACUCAACUUCAUGGUCUUGACUAUGAUGAAGCAUUCAGCCCAGUUGUCAAGCUAGUUACUAUUUGUCUUAUUCUCACUUUGGCACUCUCUCAAGGAUGGAUUUUAAAACAACUUGAUGUCAGUGAUGCCUUAUUGCAUGGAGAUUUACAAGAACGUGUCUACUUAACUCAACCUCCUGGUUUUGAAGACUCAACUCGGCCUAAUUACGUUUGUCAAUUGCACAAAGCUCUUUAUAGGUUGAAACAAGCCCCUCAAGCCCGGUACAUGAAAUUUAGUACUUACAUCCAGCAGCUUGGUUUUCAUUGCUGUCCAUAUGACACCUCUCUAUUUUUUCGUCGUCAAGGAAAUGAGGUUCUUAUGCUUCUCAUCUACCUUGAUGUCAUUAUUCUCAUUGGCAGCUCUACAGAUCAAAUUCAAAAGUUUCUUGCUCAUUUAUUCUCAGUUUUUCAUAUGAAGGAUCUUGGAGAUCUCCAUUACUUCUUGGGUAUUCAAGUUGCAUGAGAUGCCAACACUCUCACCUUGACACCCUUCCACCUUGUUUGUCAAUUCAGUUCACUUUGUUUGUCAAUUCAUGCAAAGUCCACGGGAGCCUCAUCUUAUCAUUGUCAAAAGAAUUUUUCGGUAUCUUAAGGGCACUCUCAAUUUUGGUAUGCACCUCCACAAACACUCUCUUAGAGCUCUUCUCGGUUUUUGUAAUGCCGACUGGGCUGGCUCUCUGGACGAUUGCCGCUCUACAACCGGUUUUUCCAUUUAUAUGGGUGAUACCUUACUUUCAUGGGGUGCAAAGAAACAAGCAACUGUCUCAUGGUCCCCACUGAAGCCAAAUAUCGGGCCUUGGCAGCAACUACAAUUGAGCUCAUGUGGUUUAUGAACCUGAUACACAACCUUGGAUAUACUCUUCUUGCUCCAACACUAUGCUAUGAUAAUAUAAGUGCACUUAACAUGGCAAAGAGCCCAGUGUUUCAUCAUCGAACCAAACACAUAGAAAUUGAUCCUCAUUUAGUUCGUGAAAAAGUAGCGCAUGGUACCAUCUCCCUUGCUCAUAUUCUUGGAAACGACCAAGUGGCAAAUGUGUUCACCAAAUCUUUAUGCGGUCCGAGGUUCCUACCCUGCCAGCGCAAGCUCCAUGUCGGUCCUAUCCUACCUUGAGCUUAAGGGGGGAAUAAAGAGAGACAUGUUGACAACACUGCAAUUUCCUCCAUGAUUUUAGCAUUCUCUGUAAAUGUAUCCGUUAGUCAUAGGAUCUUUUAUUUCCUUGUACAGCAGUCAUACAACUGUAACUUGCUCUCUGUAAUUCUAAUUUAAACCAAUAAACAUGUCAUGCUUAAAGCAGGCUAUUUUCCCU